GACGGUGUAGCUCAGUGGUAGAGUGUGUGCUUAGCAUGCACGAUGUCCUGGGUUCAAUCCCCAGUACCUCUG
rnacentral:tRNA from 1 species